AUUUUUUUAUUAAAUCUUUCAUUUAAGACCUGAUAGAUUUUUUUUGUUCCAGAAAUUAGUUGCUGACAAGUAUCUUGGCCAUGGAUCUUGAAAAUCAUUUGGACGGAAAAGAUAUGAACUUUGUAGACAAGGUUAGAACGGUACUGGAAGAGUAUUUUUCAUCACAGACAAGUGAAUUUUGGAAGAGGGGCCUUGCAAAUCUACCAGAUAGAUGGAAGAGCAUUGUAGAAAAUGAAGGAGAGUAUAUUUUAGAUUAAAAAAGAACUUUUAUGGUCUUAAUUUCGAAAAAUAAAAGUAUAAAAAAAACGCAUUAAUUAUGGGAUGACCAAAUAUUUGCGACCCAGUUUUUCAAUUCUUACUCCACUUUCAGAUGUGUGAGCUAAAACACAAUGAAGUAAAAUGCCUUGCUUAAGAAA